GUCUUGUGUGACAAGCGCCUUUGUGUGAAGGAGGAACAGAUGUGUCUCCUCUAGCACCCGUGGCUGAUCCAAUCAUUCCCUGCCCAGAUGCGAAAACUGAGGCCCAGAGAGAAAGCAAGUGAUUUCCGGUAGCACAGCGCUCGUUUUGGCAGGGUCUGGACUAGGACCCGAUUUUCUUCAUUUCCAGUUUACGUGAUACGGUGAAAUUGAAGCCUAGAGUGGGAUUUGAACCCAGAUCCGUUGGCCCCUGAGCCAGUGUUCUUUGUAACAUGCUCAAAAUGGG